rnacentral:misc_RNA from 1 species
GAUGAAGAAUGUAGCGAAAUGCGAUACGUAAUGUGAAUUGCAGAAUUCAGUGAAUCAUCGAAUCUUUGAACGCAUAUUGCGCUCUCUGGUAUUCCGGAGAGCAUGUUUGUUUGAGUAUCAGUAAACACCUCAACUCCCUUUUCUUUUUUGAAAUGGGAGCUGGACUUGAGUGAUCCCAACACUUUUCUCACUGGAAAGUGGCGGGUCACUUGAAAUGCAGGUGCAGCUGGACUUUUCUCUGAGCUAUAAGCAUAUCUAUUUAGUCUGCCUAAAAAACAGAUUAUUACCUUUGCUGCAGCUAACAUAAAGGAGAUGAGUUCUUGUGCUGACUGAUGCAGGAUUCACAGAGACAGCUUUGCGGCUGACUUUGUAAACUCGAUCUCAAAUCAAGUAAGACUACCCGCUGAACUUAAGCAUAUCAAUAAGCGGAGGA